rnacentral:rRNA from 1 species
UACGUAGGGUGCGAGCGUUGUCCGGAAUUAUUGGGCGUAAAGGGCUCGUAGGCGGUUUGUCGCGUCGGGAGUGAAAACACUGGGCUUAACUCAGUGCUUGCUUCCGAUACGGGCAGACUAGAGGUAUUCAGGGGAGAACGGAAUUCCUGGUGUAGCGGUGAAAUGCGCAGAUAUCAGGAGGAACACCGGUGGCGAAGGCGGUUCUCUGGACAGAUACCGACGCUGAGGCACGAAAGCUAGGGGAGCAAACAGG